GAUGAACGCUAGCUACAGGCUUAACACAUGCAAGUCGAGGGACCGGCGCACGGGUGAGUAACACGUAUCCAACCUGCCCUUUACUAGGGGAUAGCAUUUCGAAAGAAAGAUUAAUACCCGAUAUAAAGGAUGGAGAUGAGUUACAUUAGGUUGUUGGUAAGGUAACGGCUCACCAAGCCUUCGAUGGAUAGGGUUUCUGAGAGGAAGUUCCCCCACAUUUGAACUGAGACACGGUCCAAAAUCCUACGUGAGGCAGCAGUGAGGAAUAUUUGUCAAUGGGCGCUAGCAUGAACCAGCCAAGUAGCGUGAAGGAUGAAGGCUUAUGGGUCGUAAACUUCUUUUAUAUAAGAAUAUGUAUUAUAUGAAUAAGGAUCGGCUAACUCCGUGCCAGCAGCCGCGGUAAUUC
rnacentral:rRNA from 1 species